rnacentral:rRNA from 1 species
AAUAUUGCGCAAUGGAGGAAACUCUGACGCAGCGACGCCGCGUGAGCGAUGAAGGUCUUCGGAACGUAAAGCUCUGUCCUUGGGGAAGAAGAUCGAAAGAUUUGACGGUACCCGAGGAGGAAGCCCCGGCUAACUACGUGCCAGCAGCCGCGGUAAUACGUAGGUGGCAAGCGUUAUCCGGAAUUAUUGGGCGUAAAGCGCGCGCAGGCGGUUUCUUAAGUCUGAUGUGAAAGCCCACGGCUCAACCGUGGAGGGUCAUUGGAAACUGGGAAGCUUGAGUGCAGAAGAGGAGAGUGGAAUUCCAUGUGUAGCGGUGAAAUGCGUAGAGAUAUGGAGGAACACCAGUGGCGAAGGCGACUCUCUGGUCUGCAACUGACGCUGAGGCGCGAAAGCGUGGGGAGCGAACA